GGGAAUAUUGGACAAUGGGCGCAAGCCUGAUCCAGCGACGCCGCGUGAGUGAAGAAGGCCUUCGGGUUGUAAAGCUCUUUUAGUGGGGAAGAUAAUGACGGUACCCACAGAAGAAGCCCCGGCUAACUUCGUGUCAGCAGCCGCGGUAAUACGAAGGGGGCUAGCGUUACUCGGCAUUAUUGGGCGUAAAGCGUGCGUAGGCUGCUUAGUAAGUCAAAAGUGAAAGCCUUGGGCUCAACCUAAGAAUUGCUUUUGAGACUACCAAGCUUGAGUACUGUAGGGGAUAGCGGAAUUCCUAGUGUAGGGGUGAAAUUCGUAGAUAUUAGGAGGAACACCGGAGGCGAAAGCGGUUAUCUGGACAGUUACUGACGCUGUUGCACGAAAUCGUGGGGAGCAAACA
rnacentral:rRNA from 1 species